rnacentral:rRNA from 1 species
UACAGAGGUCUCAAGCGUUGUUCGGAUUCAUUGGGCGUAAAGGGUGCGUAGGCGGCGCGGUAAGUCGGGUGUGAAAAUUUCGAGGCUUAACUUCGAAACUGCAUUCGAUACUGCCGUGCUAGAGGACUGGAGAGGAGACUGGAAUUUACGGUGUAGCGGUGAAAUGCGUAGAUAUCGUAAGGAAGACCAGUGGCGAAGGCGGGUCUCUGGACAGUUCCUGACGCUGAGGCACGAAGGCCAGGGGAGCAAACGGG